rnacentral:RNase_P_RNA from 2 species
GAACAAAUCGGAGAUGAUCGCUUGUUCCUUCGGGAGUGAGAGGAAAGUCCGAACACCGCAAGGCAGUGUGCCCGAUGAAAGUUGGGGCGGCAUUUGGCGAAAGCCGGUGUCGACAGAUAGUGUCGCAGAAAUUAAACCGCCCCACCGAUUCGUCGGUGACGGUAAGGGUGAAAUGGCGAGGUAAGAGCUCACCGCCCCGGAGGUAACGACGGGGGCAAAGAAAAACCUCUCACGGUGCAAGACAUAACAGAACAAACGGGUUGCCUGCCCGGUUCCGCUUCGGCGGUAUGAGUUCGGGUAAUAGUCGCACCCCGCUUGCGGGGAAUUGGUCUUCGGAUCAGUUAGAUAAAUGAUCGUCCGUUGCCCACUUCGGUGGGUGGCGAACAAAAUUCGGCUUACGGGAUUUGUUCACCU